rnacentral:rRNA from 1 species
AGUGAACGCUGGCGGUAGGCCUAACACAUGCAAGUCGAACGGCAGCACAGUAAUAGCUUGCUCUUACGGGUGGCGAGUGGCGGACGUGUGAGGAAUAUAUCGUAAUCUACUUUUUCGUGGGGGUUCACGUAGGUAAACUUACGCUAAUACCGCAUACCACCUACCGUUGAAAGCAGGGGAUCUUCUCACCUUGUGCGAAUGAAUUCGCCGGUGUCGGACUUGUUAGUUGGCGGGUUAAAUGCCCACCAAGGCGGCGAUCCGUAGCUGGUCUGAGAGAAUGAUCGGCCACACUGGAAGUGAGACACGGUCCAGACUCCUGCGGGAGGCAGCAGUGGGGUAUAUUAGACAAUGGGGGCGAAGCUGAUCCAAGCAUACCGCGUGGGUGGAGAAGACCUUCGGGUUGUAAGGCCCUUUUGUUGGGAGAAAAAAGCAGGCGGUUAAUACGCCGCUGUUCUGACGGUACCCAAAGAAGAAGCACCGGCUAACUACGUG